GGGAGGCAGAGUGAAAUGAAAGAGAAAUGAAAACGAAGAAGCCAGUGCUGGUGCUUUGGAUUGCAGUUCUGCCUUUCAAUAUUACAUGGUGUCAGGAGUGACGUCCAAAGUGACCAGUCGCCAUCUCCAGCACCGCCAUGGAUUUGAGUGAGAUAAUAGAAGACAUCAUCCUAAAAUUCAUAAAGGAAUUUCAAGAGACCACCAAAAACUCAAAACAAUCUUGAAAAAGAACAAAGGUGGAGGACUUACACACCCUGAUUUCAAAAUUUGCUAGAAAAUUGUUAUACACUAAUCAAGACAGUGUGGAACCGCCAUGAGGACAGAUACAUAAAUGAAUGGAGAACCCUAGAGAGCCAGAAACACAUCAUCAUGUGUAUGAUCAAAUGAUUUUCAACAACGAUGCCAAUACCUUCCAAUGGUAAAACACAGUCUCUUCAACAAACAGUCUUUGGCCAACUGGAUUUCCACAUAUAAAAGAAAGAAGUUGGGACACUUAUACUACAUUGUAUACAAAAAUAAACGCAAAUUAUGUUAAAGCCCUAAAUGUAAAAUACAAAACUAUAAAACAGCUAGAAGAAAACAUGGUUAACAUUUUGUUGACCUGGGAUUUGGCAGUGAUUUCUUGCAUAUGACAUGAAAACAAUGGGCAAAAAAGCAAAAAUAGACAAAUGAGACUACAAACUUAAAAACUGUUCUGAGUCAAAGGACACAAUCAAGAGUGAAAGGACAACGUACAGAAUGGCAGAAAAUACUUGCAAAACAAAUGCUUGAUAAGGUAUUAAAUAUAGAGAGAACUCCUACAUCAAAACAAUGGAAAACAACGUGAACUAAUGUGUAAAAUUUUCAAAGGACAUUUCUCUCAGGAUGACAUACAAAUGGCCAACCAGCAUAUAAAAAGAUGCUUAACAUCACUACACUUCAGAGAAGAAUAAAUUAAAACCAAAAUGAGAUACUUACUACCUUACACACAUUAACAUAGCUGUUCUUAAAAAUAAACAAAAAACAAAUCUUGGUGAUUCCACAUAUAUGUGGCAAAGUAAAGUGCUUCACUCAAAGAAAAACAAAGCAAAAUGGCAAAUGCCCAAGGCUGGGGGGAGAGAAAACAGGGACGUGUUGUAUGAAGGAUAAAGACAUCACUUCUGCAACAUGGACAGGUUCUUAAUAUCUACAUGGUAACAUUAAGAAUAUAUUGAAAACUGGGGCGCCUGGGUGGCUCA